rnacentral:rRNA from 1 species
AUUGAACGCUGGCGGCAUGCUUUACACAUGCAAGUCGAACGGCAGCGCGGGCUUCGGCCUGGCGGCGAGUGGCGAACGGGUGAGUAAUACAUCGGAACGUGCCCAGUAGUGGGGGAUAGCUCGGCGAAAGCCGGAUUAAUACCGCAUACGACCUGAGGGUGAAAGCGGGGGAUCUUCGGACCUCGCGCUAUUGGAGCGGCCGAUGGCAGAUUAGCUAGUUGGUGGGGUAAAGGCCUACCAAGGCGACGAUCUGUAGCUGGUCUGAGAGGAUGACCAGCCACACUGGGACUGAGACACGGCCCAGACGCCUACGGGAGGCAGCAGUGGGGAAUUUGGGACAAUGGGCGAAAGCCUGAUCCAGCAAUGCCGCGUGUGUGAUGAAGGCCUUCGGGUUGUAAAGCACUUUUGGCGGGAACGAAAAGGACUGUGCCAAUACCACGGUUCGAUGACGGUACCCGCAGAAUAAGCACCGGCUAACUACGU